UUUGAGACCUCAAUGAGAUGGUAAGUCAUGUAAGCCCACUUACUCUCUUGCUCACAGGAGCUUGGCAAGGCCCUCGAAAUCAGAUAAGAUUGGCCCUCCAACAUGUCUCCCGAAUUCAACCGGGAACAGCAGUAGAUUUAUCAACUCCGACUCCGACCAGCACAAAGGCCUCCUCUCUUCCGCACCAAAACGAAAUUCAAAAC